rnacentral:rRNA from 1 species
GACGAACGCUGGCGGCGUGCCUAAUACAUGCAAGUCGAGCGGAAUGAUGAAGAAGCUUGCUUCUUCUGAUUUUAGCGGCGGACGGGUGAGUAACACGUGGGCAACCUACCUUGUAGAUUGGGAUAACUCCGGGAAACCGGGGCUAAUACCGAAUAAUCCAUUUUGCUUCAUGGCGAGAUGUUAAAAGGCGGCUUCGGCUGUCACUAUAAGAUGGGCCCGCGGCGCAUUAGCUAGUUGGUAGGGUAAUGGCCUACCAAGGCGACGAUGCGUAGCCGACCUGAGAGGGUGAUCGGCCACACUGGGACUGAGACACGGCCCAGACUCCUACGGGAGGCAGCAGUAGGGAAUCUUCCACAAUGGACGAAAGUCUGAUGGAGCAACGCCGCGUGAGUGAAGAAGGUUUUCGGAUCGUAAAACUCUGUUGUAAGGGAAGAACACGUACGAGAGUAACUGCUCGUACCUUGACGGUACCUUAUUAGAAAGCCACGGCUAACUACGUG